rnacentral:lncRNA from 1 species
UUUUUAUUAGACUAAUCUGUUGUCAUUAUUUUCUAAUCAUUGAAGAAAUAACAUAUAAUUAUAUUUCAACUACAAGUGUGUGUGGUUAUGAAAGACGGAUAGCGAUGAGUAUUUGGAGGAGAGUUAUCAGGACAUCAUUACUCAGGGAAAGGGUAAAUGGAUUUUUCUUGACUUCGCAGAUACUAAUCUUUCUAACACAAGAAAAUAUCAAAUCUGAUUCUACUUUUAAAAGAACUGCCUAACGGAGUUUAUAAAUAUGGAGGUCUGAAAUUUUCCAAAUGCUACUCAAACUUGAAGGUUUUAACUGAUGCAACCGUUCUCCGCUACGGAGAAAAUUAAUUUUUUUAUCAUUUAAACAACAGCCAACAUAUAUCAGUAUGUUCUAUUAAAAUUUGCAAGCCUAAAUUAUCUAAUCCUGGGAUUAUUGAGUUUAUAAAAAAGUGUAUCAACCGUCCUCGUCUUCGUUAUUACAAUAUGCAUUUGCAAUAUCUUAUAUAAUUAGUUUUCAAAGUGAAUGAGUUAUAUUAUUUUCUAUUUUAUUAAAGUACACU